GAUGAACGCUGGCGGCGUGCCUAAUACAUGCAAGUCGAGCGCACAGACGAGGAGCUUGCUCCUCUGACGUUAGCGGCGGACGGGUGAGUAACACGUGGAUAACCUACCUAUAAGACUGGGAUAACUUCGGGAAACCGGAGCUAAUACCGGAUAAUAUAUUGAACCGCAUGGUUCAAUAGUGAAAGACGGUUUUGCUGUCACUUAUAGAUGGAUCCCCGCCGCUUUAGCUAGUUGGUAAGGUAACGGCUUACCAAGGCAACGAUGCGUAGCCGACCUGAGAGGGUGAUCGGCCACCCUGGAACUGAGACACGGUCCAGACUCCUACGGGAGGCAGCAGUAGGGAAUCUUCCGCAAUGGGCGAAAGCCUGACGGAGCACCGCCGCGUGAGUGAUGAGGGUCUUCGGAUCGUAAAACUCUGUUAUUAGGGAAGAACAAAUGUGUAAGUAACUAUGCACGUCUUGACGGUACCUAAUCAGAAAGCCACGGCUAACUACGUG
rnacentral:rRNA from 1 species